CCUGCUUGCAAAGCAGGUGCUCUCCCAGCUGAGCUACGGCCCCUAAAUCAGAAUAAAGCGUUUAAAACGAUCAAAAGAGGGAUUACAAAAUCUAUAUAACUCAAAGCGAUAUGAUUGAACCGAUAGUUUCAUAUAGGCAUUGACGUCUAUGAGCAUUUGGAAUUUAUAUCAACCAAAUGGACGCUGUAAAAAUCACUUUGCAAGGAAUUUUGACUCCUUAGUAUUUAGCAUUUGAACUGUUUUUUUGCCAUUAAUUUGCUUUAACUUUGGAUUACUCACACAAAAGCAAUAAGCCUGCCAAUUUUGAUAAGCUUUUUAGAAGCAAUCUUUUUAGAAGUACUUAUUUUUUAAAAGCACUUAUGAAAGUAAUGGAUAAACUGGUGGGCCUGGGAGGACUUGAACCUCCGACCUCACGCUUAUCAAGCGCGCGCUCUAACCAACUGAGCUACAAGCCCUCCGGGAUAAACCGGAAAACCUUCCCCGGCAUCCUCUUAUAAAACGCUUAAAUUUUAUCAAGGAAAGCGUUUUUCAAAGCCCACGGUGGACUUGUUUUGUCUAG
rnacentral:misc_RNA from 1 species